AAAAAUCCUUCUCGUGCACCUGCUCCGUUUCUUCCCCGUUACUCCGCUCCGGCGGCCGCCGCCUCGUCGCGGGCGGAUUCCAUCCAGGCUCUCCCCUCUCCCUUCGCCGCCAGAUCUCCCAUCCCCACCACAACCCCUCCUACUCCUUCGCCGAGGGCUUGGAGAGCCGAGUCGCAGUCAUCGCCUCCGGCCGGUGAGCUGUGAACUGCUGCGACUGCGAGGAGCUCUUCUUCGUCUUCGGCGAGGUCUCGCGCUCCCGUCUUCCUCGUCGUCGCUGAGGUGAUUCCACUUCCCUUGUGCAUGCGCAUUCACUGCUUUGAGUCAUCUUGCUCUGAAAAGUUGGGAUCCAUGGGAGGAGCGGCAAGACAGGAGUGAGGAAUCGGAUUAGGGGACACAAGUGAAAGGCAGUAAGCACCGAUUGUGUUCUCAACACAACCCCAGAGAUCGAAUUCUGCACGUUUCUCUAGCUGACGCAUCAAACUCCGAGAUCUUCCACGCACAAACUCAUCAACGCGAGGAUGGCGGGUGCCCUGGUCAGUGCAGCGUUCUCGGUGGUGGGCAAGGCGCUGGCUCCCUUCACGGACGAUUUGCUCAAGGAUUGGGCAGCCAGCGCUAAGCUCGGCAAGAAUGUCGAGGACCUCGAGCUAGAGCUGCUGUCCGUAAAGGCGCUACUUGAGCCUGCCCUGGGCAGGGAAAUAGACAACUCAGCGCUCAAGGAGCUUCUGGUGCGGCUGCAGGAUCUUGGGUACGAUGCUGAGGACGUGCUGGACGAGCUGGAGUACUUCCGCAUCCAGGACGAGCUGAAUGACACCUCUGAUGCUGCUGACAAGCAUGCCAAGGGCUGCGCCUAUAAUCUGGCUCUUAAUGCAAAAGCUGUUGGCAAACAUAUUUGUUUGCCAGCAUGCUUGUCUGCUGCUACUACUAAACGAGAGGUCAACGGAUGCAAGGCAAAGCUCACUUUCAGAGCUUGCAACCCGAUCCAUGCUGUCGGUAAACGCUUCCCUUGCUCAUCUCUGCCAUCUGUUCGUGAUGAUGACGACAAAGAUGGCAAUAGCACCCACAGUUCACCACAAAGGAACCAUACACAGGAACCACCAAAGUUGAGAUUUAAUAGGGUGGAUGCCUCCAAAAGAAUGCAGCAUAUCGUAAAGCAAUUACAGCUCGUGCAUCAAAGGGUUUCUGGCAUUAUUACAGCAUUAGGUUCAGACUGGAGCACAGUCCCAAAUAUUGCACAGAGUCGUCCCAUCACCACAUCUGAAAGUACAGAGCCGAAGUUGUAUGGGCGGGACAACAUUAUGAAUGAAAUCAUACGUAAUAUCACACAGGAUAAACAUUGUGGUGAGGUCCUCACAGUCAUUCCAAUUGUUGGUCCUGGGGGCAUAGGAAAGACAACUCUUGCACAACAUGUAUAUCACAGUGGAGAAGUGCAAGAACAUUUUGAUGUCAAGGCUUGGAAAUGUGUAUCACUCAACUUUGAUGCGAAUAAGCUGAUAGAAGACAUUGAAAAAGAUAUCCCUGGUAUUGAUGGUGAAAGCAAAGGUACUGCAGGACAGUUGAUUCAGCAAAGGUUAAAAAAGAAAAGGUUUUUGCUUAUACUGGAUGAUAUAUGGGACUGUAGCAAUGAGGAUGAAUGGGAACAGCUACUGGUGCCAUUCAAAAAAUCACAAGUACAGGGCAAUAUAAUUAUAGUCACAACUCGAUUUCCAGCACAAGCACAAUUAAUGGUUCGAAAAAUUGAUCAUUCAGUAUAUUUGCAAGGUUUAGACUAUAAAGAAUUCAAGGAUUUAUUCCUAGAUUUUGUCUUUGGUGAUGAUCAAUCUAGAAAGGACCACACAUUCUUACUUGCAACUGGGGAUAAGAUAGUUAGGAGACUAAAGGGCUCCCCUCUUGCAGCAAAAACUGUCGGCAGAUUAUUGAAAAAUCAGCUUGACUUGGUUCAUUGGACUAGAGUGCUAGAAAGUAAGGAAUGGGAGAAAAGUGAUGGCAAGAAUGACAUUAUGCCCGCACUGAAGUUGAGCUAUGAUUACCUACCUUCUCAGCUCCAACGAUGUUUUUCCUACUGUGCUUUGUUUCCUCAAGAUUACAAAUUUGGAAGAGAAGAGCUAAUUAACUUUUGGAUAGGAUUAGAUGUUUUGCAUUCAUCAUGCGGUGAAAAUAAAAGGAUUGAAGAUAUAGGGCUAAGCCAUUUGAAGCAAUUGGUUAAUCAUGGAUUUUUUGAAAAGGGUGCAAAAAAAGAUGGAAGCACUUGUUACAUUAUUCAUGAUCUCUUGCAUGAAUUAGCGCGGAAUGUUUCAUCACAUGAAUGCCUUAGCAUAGACGGUUCUCAAUCUCAAGUGUGCACCUUACAAAUCCGGCCAUCAAUCCGCCACUUGUCUAUCAACAUAGAUGGUACAAGAGUCGAGGAUAGAUUGAUUCUCAAAAAUUCUGUGGAGGAUUUUAAUACAUUGGAUAAACGAUUGAAAGUUGAAAAACUACGGUCUUUGAUGUUAUUUGGGGAACACCAUGGUUGCUUUGUGAAGGCUUUUGGUGAUUUAUUUAAGGAAGCAAAAGCCCUUCGUCUUGUCUUUUUAUCUGAAGCAUCCUAUGAAGUGGAAGAUUUGUUGCACAACUUUUAUUAUCUUGUCCAUCUUCGCUACCUUCGGAUUCAAAGUUCUUUUCCAGAUGAAACAAGAUUUCCCAACAAACUUUCCAGAUUUUAUCACAUGACGGUCCUAGAUGCUAAACAUUAUGAAGAUAUCAUUGAGUUACCAAGAGAUAUGAGCAACCUUGUAAAAUUACGCCAUUUUCUUGUUUGUGAGGAUGAAACACAUGCUAGCAUUGUUGAGGUUGGAAAAUUAAAAUCAUUACAGGAGUUAAGAAGAUUUGUGGUCAGACAAGGUUUUGAAUUGAAGCAAUUAGGACAUUUGGUAGAGCUUUGUGGAUCACUGCGUAUUGAUAAUCUUGAAAAUGUUCAAUUGAAGGAAGAAGCAGAUGAAGCAAAAUUGAUGCAAAAAAGCCGCCUACAGGAGUUGAAAUUAUGUUGGAAUAUUGUCCGAUCCACCACUGAAACUACACUAGAAGAACAUGUUCUUGAAAGGCUUAAGCCCAGUCAAAACCUUCUAAAGUUAUCUAUUAUAGGGCACAGAGGAGCUUCUUGCCCUUCAUGGCUUGGUAUUAACCUCUCCGUCACAAUGUUGGAAUCUCUUUGUCUAGAUGGUGUAGAGUGGCAAACAUUUCCACCAAUAGGGGAGUUAUGGUUAGUUAAUGUGCCCCAUGAGGAAAUUUCAGGCAAUUUCCGCAAUAAAAGGUUUGAAAAUUUGCGAAGGUUAGAACUUGUGAACCUACCAAAGUUGAAAAUGUGGGCCGUACAUGCCCCUUGCCAAUUGUUUCCUUAUUUGGAAGUGAUUGUCAUUAGGGGUUGCUCCAACCUUGUGGAGUUGUCAUUUCCACAUUCUGCUUGCUGUCAACAGGAGAAAGAAGCACUGCCAUUUCCUAAACUCUCGGAGCUCAAGAUUGGAAAUUGUCCGCAGCUAUUGUCAUUUCCUCCUGUUCCUUGGACUGAAGCUCCCUGCUCCAUUAAGAUAGAAGGCACUGGCAAUUCAGGUCUUCAAAAACUGGUUUGUACAAAAAGUUUGAAUUCUAGAUAUUGUUUGACAAUUGAGGAAAAGGAUAUUCCAGGUAGCACGUUUUGGAAUGUGCUGGAUUUUGAUAAUCUAACUAGACUCACAGAAUUGGACAUGCUCAAAUGCAAACCUCUACCACUGCGUCACUUGCAAAUGCUACCAUCCCUGAGGACCCUAAAGAUGUCCUGUUCAAGUAACUCCUUUCCAUUUGAUGAAGGAGAUAAUCAUGUCCAGUACCAAUUUCCAGUUGAAUCCUUGCUUAUCCACCGGUGGGGUGCUAGUGGGAAGGAGUUGACACAGCUACUCACCUACUUCCCGAAGCUCUCAGAUCUGCGGAUGUGGUAUUCUGAGAAGAUAACAGGGCUUGGUGUGAUGGGGCACCAGGCAAUGGCAACUCCUGGACCAUCAUCUCCAGGUCACAAAGUGGGCCAGCAGCAGGACCCAAGAGCGGAGGAGGAAAUAGUCGCAUUGGCAGCAGAAGGGCUGUUGCUUUUGCCUCGCCAACUGCAGGAGUUGUUGAUAUGCGACUACCUGGAGCUGAGCCUCCACUCCAAUCCACUUAAUGACAACAAAGAAGAUGGACGGACCGGGGGAGGAGGUGGGCUCCAAGAUCUGAGCUCCCUCCGACGGUUGGACAUAUCAACUUGCCCCAAGCUCCUCUCUUCCUACCACUCGUCUUGUUUCCCCUUACCGACCUCCCUGGAAUACCUUGAACUUGAAGGCGUGGUGGGCUUGGAGACAAUAGUGCCUCUAUCAAACCUCAGCUCUCUCACACAUUUAUCAAUAUGCGAAUGUGACGGUCUGAGAGUCAAGGGAUUAUUAUCUCUCCUAGCCCAGGGCCAUCUCACCACAUUACGUGUCACAGAAACACCCAAUUUCUUUGUUGAUUCUGAGCCCUCACGCGUGCAUGAACAAGUGCUUCCAUCUCGUUCCUCCACACUGCAGGAGCUCAGCAUGGAUGAUGUGGCUGGAGUCACUGCUGCACCCAUCUGUAGCUCUCUCUUUUCCUCGCUCACCACAUUGGUAUUUUUUAGGGAUGCAAAGGUGGAACACUUCACAGAGGAGCAAGAGGCCCUCCUGUUCAUCAACUCCCUUGAGGUAAUCAGGUUUGAGUUCUGCAGCAGCCUGCAGUACCUCCCUGCACGGCUGCAUAGCCUUCCCAGCCUCAAGAGAUUAAGUAUCUGGAAGUGUACAGCCAUCCAGAUGCUGCCCAAGGAUGGCCUCCCAAGUUCACUGCAAGAGUUGGUCAUUGACCGUUGUCCAGAAAUCCAAUCCUUGCCCAAGAACUGCCUCCCAAGUUCAUUGCAAAAAUUAGUGAUAGGUGGCUGCCCAGCCAUCCAGUCGCUGCCCAAGGUGGAUGACCUUCCAAGUUCACUGCGAGAACUACAUGUCAUGUAUGACAGCAGCAAGGAGCUAAGAAGGCAUUGCCGCAAGUUAAUAGGAAUCAUUCCAAUAGUCGAAAUCCGUGACUAACCCAAGGGCUAUUCUUUGAAUAGUAGAUUCUUCCAUCAAUCCAUCCUCCAGAUUCUCUCCUAUCUAUGCACAGUUCUGAGUUGUCAAGCAUGAAAAUCUCAGCAUGUGACUUCCACCCUGUACAUCAAAACGGUGGUCUUUGACAUACUCCUGCAUUGUUGUUUUCUGUCUCGGAUGAGUACUGAAGUAUGGAUGCCACUGUAUGAAUUAUGUUCUAGUCAAAGGUUUGCUCUCCUAGGAAAUCCAGUUAAGCCAUAAGUGAUUUCAGUCUUCCCUAGGAUCCGGUAAAAUAUGAUUGGCUCUACCUCUAUACAAGGCAACGACCAAUGUUUAAAAAGCUGCAGCCUGCAGUGAACAUGCAGGCUUCAACACGAGGAGGGAGAAGUUAGUUUGGAAGGUUGUGUGGAAACUAGACACCUUUUGUUGGUUGGGAGCGAUGCUACGUAAAGAUGGGAAUAUUGAUAAAGAUGUUAGCCCCAGGGUUAAGCGGGAUUGCCUGCUUAAAGAUAACUCUGCCAGUUUUUCAGCUUGCAUCUGCAAUUAUGCGCUGUUGAACCCCAAAAUAUGUAUGUCUAGAUACCUAGCUUUUGCAAUUAUGUAUGUUUAGAUGCA